rnacentral:piRNA from 1 species
UNGCCUGUUCUUACUUCAAAGAUGCCUGC